AUGGGAGCUUGCUCCCUGAUGUUAGCGGCGGACGGGUGAGUAACACGUGGGUAACCUGCCUGUAAGACUGGGAUAACUCCGGGAAACCGGGGCUAAUACCGGAUGCUUGUUUGAACCGCAUGGUUCAAACAUAAAAGGUGGCUUCGGCUACCACUUACAGAUGGACCCGCGGCGCAUUAGCUAGUUGGUGAGGUAAUGGCUCACCAAGGCAACGAUGCGUAGCCGACCUGAGAGGGUGAUCGGCCACACUGGGACUGAGACACGGCCCAGACUCCUACGGGAGGCAGCAGUAGGGAAUCUUCCGCAAUGGACGAAAGUCUGACGGAGCAACGCCGCGUGAGUGAUGAAGGUUUUCGGAUCGUAAAGCUCUGUUGUUAGGGAAGAACAAGUGCCGUUCAAAUAGGGCGGCACCUUGACGGUACCUAACCAGAAAGCCACGGCUAACUACGUUGCCAGCAGCCGCGGUAAUACGUAGGUGGCAAGCGUUGUCCGGAAUUAUUGGGCGUAAAGGGCUCGCAGGCGGUUUCUUAAGUCUGAUGUGAAAGCCCCCGGCUCAACCGGGGAGGGUCAUUGGAAACUGGGGAACUUGAGUGCAGAAGAGGAGAGUGGAAUUSCACGUGUAGCGGUGAAAUGCGUAGAGAUGUGGAGGAACACCAGUGGCGAAGGCGACUCUCUGGUCUGUAACUGACGCUGAGGAGCGAAAGCGUGGGGAGCGAACAGGAUUAGAUACCCUGGUAGUCCACGCCGUAAACGAUGAGUGCUAAGUGUUAGGGGGUUUCCGCCCCUUAGUGCUGCAGCUAACGCAUUAAGCACUCCGCCUGGGGAGUACGGUCGCAAGACUGAAACUCAAAGGAAUUGACGGGGGCCCGCACAAGCGGUGGAGCAUGUGGUUUAAUUCGAAGCAACGCGAAGAACCUUAMCAGGUCUUGACAUCCUCUGACACCCCUAGAGAUAGGGCUUCCCCUUCGGGGGCAGAGUGACAGGUGGUGCAUGGUUGUCGUCAGCUCGUGUCGUGAGAUGUUGGGUUAAGUCCCGCAACGAGCGCAACCCUUGAUCUUAGUUGCCAGCAUUCAGUUGGGCACUCUAAGGUGACUGCCGGUGACAAACCGGAGGAAGGUGGGGAUGACGUCAAAUCAUCAUGCCCCUUAUGACCUGGGCUACACACGUGCUACAAUGGACAGAACAAAGGGCAGCGAGACCGCGAGUUAAGCCAAUCCCACAAAUCUGUUCUCAGUUCGGAUCGCAGUCUGCAACUCGACUGCGUGAAGCUGGAUCGCUAGUAAUCGCGGAUCAGCAUGCCGCGGUGAAUAGUUCCCGGGCCUUGUACACACCGCCCGUCACACCACGAGAGUUUGUAACACCCGAAGUCGGUGAGGUAACCUUUAUGGAGCCAGCCGCCGAAGGUGGGAC
rnacentral:rRNA from 1 species